CUAAGCCAUGCGAGUCGAGAGGUGCAAGACCUCGGCAUACUGCUCAGUAACACGUGGACAACCUACCCUAUGGAGGGGGAUAACCCCGGGAAACUGGGGAUAAUACCCCAUAGACUAUAGAUGCUGGAAUGCUUUGUAGUUGAAAGGUCCGCCGCCAUAGGAUGGGUCUGCGGCCGAUUAGGUUGUUGUUGGGGUAACGGCCCAACAAGCCUGUAAUCGGUACGGGUUGUGGGAGCAAGAGCCCGGAGAUGGAUUCUGAGACACGAAUCCAGGCCCUACGGGGCGCAGCAGGCGCGAAAACUUUACAAUGCGGGAAACCGUGAUAAGGGAACUCCGAGUGCCCGUAAAAUCGGGCUGUCCAUCAGUUUAAAUAACUGGUGAAGAAAGGGCCGGGCAAGACCGGUGCCAGCCGCCGCGGUAAUACCGGCGGCUCGAGUGGUGGCCACUAUUACUGGGCUUAAAGCGUUCGUAGCUGGUCUGUUAAGUCUCUGGGGAAAUCUACUGGCUUAACCAAUAGGCGUCUCAGGGAUACUGGCAGACUAGGGACCGGGAGAGGUGAGAGGUACUCCAGGGGUAGGAGUGAAAUCCUGUAAUCCUUGGGGGACCACCUGUGGCGAAGGCGUCUCACCAGAACGGCUCCGACAGUGAGGGACGAAAGCUGGGGGAGCAAACCGGAUUAGAUACCCGGGUAGUCCCAGCUGUAAACGAUGCGCGUUAGGUGUAUCGGUGACCACGAGUCACCGAGGUGCCGAAGAGAAAUCGUGAAACGUGCCGCCUGGGAAGUACGGUCGCAAGGCUGAAACUUAAAGGAAUUGGCGGGGGAGCACCACAACAGGUGGAGCCUGCGGUUUAAUCGGACUCAACGCCGGAAAUCUCACCGGAUAAGACAGCUGGAUGAUAGUCGGGCUGAAGACUCUACUUGACUAGCUGAGAGUGUGGUGCAUGGCCA
rnacentral:rRNA from 1 species